rnacentral:tRNA from 1 species
GAGGGUAUAGCUCAGUGGUAGAGUGUGUGCUUAGCUUGCACGAGGUCCUGGGUUCAAUCCCCAGCACCUCCA